AGGAAGGGAGAGGGAGAGAGAGGGCACUCGCACCCGGGAAUGACCUUUGCGCUGCAAACUGUUAAAGCCUGAGCUUGGUGCAGAAACGUUGGCUUACGGGCAGCUGCAUCUUCUGGAACUCCCCAGGGAUGAGAAUGUAAGCUCCAGGAAAAGAAACCUUGGUUGUCUACUGGAUAGUCAGCUCCAAGCCCAG